rnacentral:lncRNA from 1 species
GCAGCCCAGCCAAGACUCCCUCCCCCAGACAUCACCCCUCUUAUUGAGCCCUAUCCAUUAGGUGUCAGCAGCCCAGCCAAGACUCCCUCCCCCAACAAUCACCCUAUUAUUGAGCACUUCAUCCAUUAGGUUGUCCAGCAGCCCAGCAAGACUCCUCCCCCGGAC